rnacentral:rRNA from 1 species
UACGGAGGGGGCUAGCGUUGUUCGGAAUUACUGGGCGUAAAGCGCACGUAGGCGGCUUGGUAAGUUAGAGGUGAAAGCCUGGAGCUCAACUCCAGAAUUGCCUUUAAGACUGCCGAGCUAGCAGGUGAGAGAGGUGGGUGGAAUUCCGAGUGUAGAGGUGAAAUUCGUAGAUAUUCGGAAGAACACCAGUGGCGAAGGCGGCUCACUGGCUCAUACUGGACGCUGAGGUGCGAAAGCGUGGGGAGCAAACAGG